UACGUAGGGUGCAAGCGUUAAUCGGAAUUACUGGGCGUAAAGCGUGCGCAGGCGGUUAUGUAAGACAGGGGUGAAAUCCCCGGGCUUAACCUGGGAACUGCAUUUGUGACUGCAUAGCUAGAGUACGGUAGAGGGGGAUGGAAUUCCGCGUGUAGCAGUGAAAUGCGUAGAUAUGCGGAGGAACACCGAUGGCGAAGGCAAUCCCCUGGACCUGUACUGACGCUCAUGCACGAAAGCGUGGGGAGCAAUCAGG
rnacentral:rRNA from 1 species